rnacentral:rRNA from 1 species
UACGGAGGGGGCCAGCGUUGUUCGGAAUUAUUGGGCGUAAAGGGCGCGUAGGUGGCCAUGCAAGUCGGAGGUGAAAUCCCUCGGCCCAACUGAGGAACUGCCUCCGAUACUGCAUGGCUUGAGUCCCGGAGAGGGUGGUGGAAUUCCCAGUGUAGCGGUGAAAUGCGUAGAUAUUGGGAGGAACACCAGUGGCGAAGGCGACUUCCUGGCCUGUUCUUGACGCUGAGGCGCGAAAGCUAGGGUAGCAAACGGG